CGGAAGUGACGUUACGAGGGCGGCGGAGGUGGAGCGAGAAUGCGCGCGGGGCGCUGCCCUUCUGCCUCGCUCGUGCCGAGCCGUUGGAGCCUGUCCCGCGCCCGGAGGAGGGUUUGUGCAGUUGACGCUCUGGGCAUGUGCAGAUCGCGGCGGGAGAGAGACCUUCAUUAACUGCCCCGGGCCCGGGCCCUGCUCGCGCUGGAGCCUGCCCCGCUGCGGAGCUACAGCCUCCAGGCUGCACAGUGACGUCCAUGUUUCACUCCAGCUCAUCCCAUCCUCCCACAGGAGAGGGAAGAGAAAUGACUCCAGAGGAGUCUGUUCAGAGGCCGGUGACCUUCG